UCUUAUUUCGUAAUCUGAAAAGAGGUCAUUGGUUUCUAAAGUGGCCAGAUAAACUCAACCCAGAACUUUAGACUUUGAGAGGAUUGAGCAAAAUGAUCUUGAUUCUUUCAGACUUCAAAAAUAUUUAAGUUUGAAUACGUGGAGUGGAGGUGUAUAAAAUGCCAUUUUCUUUAUAACCUCCUAAAUGCGGAUCUACACACAUCAUCAAAUCAGAAUCAUGUGGGAAAGGACUAGGCAGAAUUGGAAUUUUCUCUUUGAACUUCCGAGUUCUGGGAGUGCUACUCUGCCAUCCUCCCCCCCCACCACCCUCCAGGCUUGCUUUACACUUUCAUGGAAUUGCUGCUAAAAAAAGACAUUUAAGAGAGAUUUUGAUACCCGUAUGGUGUACAGCAGCGUGAAUGUACGUCAACUGACCCCUGAAAAAUGGACAGACGGUAUUCUCGGAGCAAACCAUGUGAAUCGCUGAAGUAAUCUUUAUCGAAUACUUCCAACGUGUUAGAUAGAUGUGCUUACCGUGAAUGACCUCAUUUAAACGUGAAGAUGGAAAAAGUGUCUGAGAAAGAGAAAGAGAUCUUUGCAAGAGCUAAAUUCAAAGGAUAUGCCCGAUAAUCCACUCUGGUCACUGCCUCAUUUCCUUCUUCUUAUUCAGAUUUACAGGGCAUGGAACAAAUCAGGAAAAAGGUCAUUUUCUUAUCACAUAAAUAUAGUCCUAGUGUUCCACACAUUCUGAAUACAGCUUGAAUUAAAAGCAAGUUUGGCAGGCUUCCAAAGUUUGAGAAUG